AGCUUGUUUCCUACAAAUGGUUGAAGACGACGAGUGUUACUCUAGUUUUAAACUAUCAUAGCUGGUGGUCUAGUCCUUUGUUAUGUUUGAGCCUUGUAUGAUUUUGAUUGUUGUAUUUCUUUCUUGGUCCCAUUGUAAAUAUUGGUAGUCUAUCUUGGCAUACCUUGUGCUGAGGAGGCUGUUUCUUAAUAUAUAUCUCAUUUUAGCUUUUUCAAAAAAA
rnacentral:lncRNA from 1 species